UACGUAGGUGGCAAGCGUUGUCCGGAUUUAUUGGGUUUAAAGGGUGCGUAGGCGGCUUUGUAAGUCAGUGGUGAAAUAUGGCAGCUUAACUGUCAAGGUGCCAUUGAUACUGCGGAGCUUGAGUACAGAUGAGGUAGGCGGAAUUGACGGUGUAGCGGUGAAAUGCUUAGAUAUCGUCAAGAACACCUAUAGCGAAGGCAGCUUACUAGGCUGUAACUGACGCUGAGGUGCGAAAGCGUGGGGAGCAAACAGG
rnacentral:rRNA from 1 species